CACGUAGGGCGCGAGCGUUGUCCGGAAUUAUUGGGCGUAAAGGGCUCGUAGGCGGUUUGUCGCGUCGGGAGUGAAAACCUCGGGCUUAACUCGGGGCUUGCUUUCGAUACGGGCAGACUAGAGGUAUGCAGGGGAGAACGGAAUUCCUGGUGUAGCGGUGAAAUGCGCAGAUAUCAGGAAGAACACCUAUGGCGAAAGCAGCUCUCUGGGACGGUACUGACGCUGAGACGCGAAAGCGUGGGGAGCGAACAGG
rnacentral:rRNA from 1 species